rnacentral:lncRNA from 1 species
GGCCUGCACGAGGAGGGCAGAGUCCGUUGCGGCUGCCGCCCCGACGCCCGCGCAUCCCCGCUCGCCGCGCCCGCCGCCGCGAUGUCCGGGGCCGGCCUAGCCGCGGUGGUGAGCUGCCUGCGCCCGCAGCCCGGCGAGGAGCCGCAGACCCAUGAGGACCUUCUCCUGGCAGCUGCCUAUGUUUUGGAUGCCCAGUACAACAGAAAUGUUCCAUUUGAAACUCACCUCAGGCCAUCAGACGUUACUAUUUUUAUAACCACUAGACAACGCAGGUUGCCGCAUACUUCUUUAUUUGUGUAGACCUCGCUCUUGCCCUGUUUGAAGAGUCUGAGUUGCUUCCCCUGCCUUUCUUGGCCACCUCAAUAGCAGAAGUACUCUGCCUGACUGCAUACUUUGGCAGACUGGUACAUUUUGCAAAAGUCACUCCUCAAAUGGUUUUCUGGAAGGAUACAAAAGACAUCUGCACCAUGGUAACCACAGUGGCGAGUGUUCAUUGUAGUACCUGUAAGAGUUUAUGACCGAAGGCAGGAGCCAUGAAGAAAAAAGACUCAAUAGAUUUGCUUUUGAUGAAACAACAACACUUCCAUACAGUGAACGCCAUAAGCACAACUGCAAGCAAACCCCAAACUGAAGAACAAAUAGGGCAAAAUGUGGCAGUGCAGACAUUUCAGCAUAUCAAGAGCACUUCCAAAUUACAGGAAAAAAAAGAUAUCUCAAUAGAUAAUUUUGCUGAAGAUAAGUGAAGGCAACUCAUAAGGAAAAAAUAUGUAAAAUGGCCGAUAGGAAAGAUGUUUAACGUCACUAAUUAAAAAUUAUAGAAUAAAACGACAAUAAAAUACCAUGUGUUUGCCUAUAAAAAAUCUUAGCAAGAUUGAAAACAA